GCCUAAAGAAGGUGGUAAGCUCCACCUAAGGCUAAAUAUCACUGUGAGACCGAUAGCAAACAAGUACCGUGAGGGAAAGUUGCAAAGAACUUUGAAGAGAGAGUUCAACAGGACGUGAAACCGUUUGCAGGGAAACAGAUGGACCCACGAAGUCCAGUUGAGUGUGAAAUUCACAUUUCAAGACUGUUUCAAUUAGAGUUACAUCUUCUCUUGUUGAUGUGCUCAAGUUGUUAACUGUCGAGAGAUGCAUUUUUUACACUCACGGUGGAGCUCUGACUUCUUAAUCAAACCGAACUGCUUAGGGCUGCUCUUAUAUGUAGUGAGAUUCAUGUAAUCUCCGAUACAUGUUUGAGUGUGCAGUGAGGUUUAACUGAGAGGUUGAAUUUCUUACGUUUGUGAGUGAUUCAGUUUAUCGGUAAAAAUAUAUGAUAGGAAGGUGGCAAAAGUUACUGAUUGACUUUAAUUAGUUGACAUUAACUUUUGUUCAUAUUCCAAUAUAUCAAAUAUUUUUGCCAGUAAUAAUCCAGAGUAAGUAGGUCGGUCAUCCAUCUGACC
rnacentral:rRNA from 1 species